rnacentral:rRNA from 1 species
AUGUGGUAAGGGAAAAUAAUGAUACUACCUUACUUAUAGUGUUGUCUAAAGCUGGUGCCAGAAGACUCGGUAAAGCCAGGGACGCAAACGUUAAUCAUCUUAAACAGGCGUAAAGGGUUUGUAGGCAGCUCUUUAAUUUAAUUUUUAGAGCUAGAAUCAAAAAGAAGUUAAACCGUAUAAUACUUAGAGAAGGGCUUAUAUCCUUAGAACCUAGGUGGAAUACUAAAGGUGUAAACAACUAGCUAUAAAUGAUUGACGCUGAGAGACGAAGGUGAGGAUAGGAAAUAGGAUUAGAUACCCCGGUACCCCUCUCUGUAAACGAUGAAUGGCAAUCAUUAGUAUAUUAUAUUAUUAGUGGUAAAGUUAACACGUUAACCAUUCCGCCUUGGGAGUACGAUUGCAAGGUUGAAAACAAAAAAAUUAGUCGGUCUCGGAGCAAACGGAAUGAAG